rnacentral:rRNA from 1 species
CCUACGGGAGGCUGCAGUGGGGAAUAUUGCUCAAUGGGGGCAACCCUGAUGCAGCGACGCCGCGUGCGUGAUGAAGUAAUUCGUUAUGUAAAGCUCUAUCAGCAGGGAGGAAAAUGCCGGUACCUGAGUCAGAAGCCCCGGCUAACUACGUGCCAGCAGCCGCGGUAAUACGUAGGGGGCAAGCGUUAUCCGGAUUUACUGGGUGUAAAGGGAGCGUAGACGGCAGUGCAAGUAUGGAGUGAAAGGCGGGGGCUCAACCCCCGGACUGCUCUGGAAACUGUACGGCUAGAGUGCAGGAGAGGUAAGUGGAAUUCCUAGUGUAGCGGUGAAAUGCGUAGAUAUUAGGAGGAACACCAGUGGCGAAGGCGGCUUACUGGACUGUAACUGACGUUGAGGCUCGAAAGCGUGGGGAGCAAACAGGAUUAGAUACCCUUGUAGUC